GACGAACGCUGGCGGCGUGCUUAACACAUGCAAGUCGAACGGUGAAGGGAUCAGCUUGCUGGUUCUGGAUGAGUGGCGAACGGGUGAGUAACACGUGAGUAACCUGCCCCCUUCUUCUGGAUAACCGCAUGAAAGUGUGGCUAAUACGGGAUAUUCUGCGCCUGCUGCAUGGUGGGUGUGGGAAAGAUAUUGUUUCGGUGGGGGAUGGGCUCGCGGCCUAUCAGCUUGUUGGUGGGGUGAUGGCCUACCAAGGCGGUGACGGGUAGCCGGCCUGAGAGGGUGGACGGUCACACUGGGACUGAGACACGGCCCAGACUCCUACGGGAGGCAGCAGUGGGGAAUAUUGCACAAUGGGCGCAAGCCUGAUGCAGCGACGCCGCGUGAGGGAUGGAGGCCUUCGGGGUGUGAACCUCUUUCGCCAGUGAAGCAGGCCUGUCCCUUGUGGGUGGGUUGACGGUAGCUGGAGAAGAAGCGCCGGCUAACUACGUG
rnacentral:rRNA from 1 species